rnacentral:rRNA from 1 species
GAUGAACGCUAGCGGGAGGCCUAACACAUGCAAGCCGAGCGGUAUUUGUUCUUCGGAACAGAGAGAGCGGCGCACGGGUGCGGAACACGUGUGCAACCUGCCUUUAUCUGGGGGAUAGCCUUUCGAAAGGAAGAUUAAUACCCCUUAAAAUUUUAGGUGCCAUCUUUUGUUAUUGAAAACUCCGGUGGUUAGAGAUGGGCACGCGCAAGAUUAGAUAGUUGGUGAGGAAACGGCUCACCAAGUCAAUGAUCUUUAGGGGGCCUGAGAGGGUGAUCCCCCACACUGGUACUGAGACACGGACCAGACUCCUACGGGAGGCAGCAGUGAGGAAUAUUGGACAAUGGGUUAGCGCCUGAUCCAGCCAUCCCGCGUGAAGGACGACGGCCCUAUGGGUUGUAAACUUCUUUUGUAUAGGGAUAAACCUACUCUCGUGAGAGUAGCUGAAGGUACUAUACGAAUAAGCACCGGCUAACUCCGUG